rnacentral:rRNA from 1 species
UAAUACAUGCAAGUCGAGCGGACAGAUGGGAGCUUGCUCCCUGAUGUUAGCGGCGGACGGGUGAGUAACACGUGGGUAACCUGCCUGUAAGACUGGGAUAACUCCGGGAAACCGGGGCUAAUACCGGAUGGUUGUUUGAACCGCAUGGUUCAGACAUAAAAGGUGGCUUCGGCUACCACUUACAGAUGGACCCGCGGCGCAUUAGCUAGUUGGUGAGGUAACGGCUCACCAAGGCAACGAUGCGUAGCCGACCUGAGAGGGUGAUCGGCCACACUGGGACUGAGACACGGCCCAGACUCCUACGGGAGGCAGCAGUAGGGAAUCUUCCGCAAUGGACGAAAGUCUGACGGAGCAACGCCGCGUGAGUGAUGAAGGUUUUCGGAUCGUAAAGCUCUGUUGUUAGGGAAGAACAAGUGCCGUUCAAAUAGGGCGGCACCUUGACGGUACCUAACCAGAAAGCCACGGCUAACUACGUGCCAGCAGCCGCGGUAAUACGUAGGUGGCAAGCGUUGUCCGGAAUUAUUGGGCGUAAAGGGCUCGCAGGCGGUUUCUUAAGUCUGAUGUGAAAGCCCCCGGCUCAACCGGGGAGGGUCAUUGGAAACUGGGGAACUUGAGUGCAGAAGAGGAGAGUGGAAUUCCACGUGUAGCGGUGAAAUGCGUAGAGAUGUGGAGGAACACCAGUGGCGAAGGCGACUCUCUGGUCUGUAACUGACGCUGAGGAGCGAAAGCGUGGGAGCGAACAGGAUUAGAUACCCUGGUAGUCCACGCCGUA